rnacentral:rRNA from 1 species
AGCGAACGCUGGCGGCAGGCCUAACACAUGCAAGUCGAGCGGGCACCGCAAGGUGUCAGCGGCAGACGGGAGAGUAACACGUGGGAACGUGCCCUUUGGUUCGGAACAACUCCGGGAAACUGGAGCUAAUACCGGAUAAGCCCUUACGGGGAAAGAUUUAUCGCCAAAGGAGCGGCCCGCGUCCGAUUAGCUAGUUGGUGAGGUAAUGGCUCACCAAGGCGACGAUCGGUAGCUGGUCAAGAGGAUGAUCAGCCUCACUGGGACUGAGACACGGCCCAGACUCCUACGGGAGGCAGCAGUGGGGAAUAUUGGACAAUGGGCGCAAGCCUGAUCCAGCCAUGCCGCGUGGAUGAUGAAGGCCUUAGGGUUGUAAAGUCCUUUUAACGGGGAAGAUAAUGACGGUACCCGUAGAAUAAGCCCCGGCUAACUUCGUGCCAGCAGCCGCCGUAAG